UAUGUUUCUCUGACUUGUUGGUCAAUGAUUUGUUAAGUAGAUUUGAUUGUUUCAACAUCUAAAGACACUGUUAUCAUCAUUAUUAUUAUUUUAUCUGGAGAUAAUUAGUGGUCUUGAAUGAAUAAUCACCGUUUAAAUGGUUGUAAUAUUGUUUACCAACGUGGGUGAAACUCACGCUUAUUAACUUGUUGCUGUUGGCUUUUUUUUGCGCUCUUGUGUAUCGUUUAUUGGCCAACUACCUCGAGAUCUUACUCUUUGAUUGUUGUUCGUAUUAUUGUUAAAAUGUUGGAUUCGUUUUCAAUCUAACAUUGUGUUUACAAUUGAUUUAGUUGAUUUAAAGAAGCUUUACUUUAUGCAUACAUUCAAUUUUAUACAUAUAAAAAGUUCUGUUGGCUGAUUAGCUUUAUUCUUUGCUAUUAGAUUGAUAACAAUCAAAUUGAAGCUAAACUGUUACUAUCAUCAUUUGGAAUCUUUAUUUCUCUCUUGUUUCUUCUUAUAACCUGAACCACCUUUAUUAAACAAUUUAGAGGUCACUUAUCAACGGAAAUUUAAAUGGUUAAGAGGAAAGCUGAAUUAUCAACAAUCGUUAACAAGAUUGGAUAAGUUGAAGCUUGAGGUUUUGAGGCUUUUUUGUGGUGAUUGUUUAAUCCUCGCUUUAAUUGGACUCCAAAUUGACUUGAAUUAGGAAAAUUAUGCAGAUUUAUUGAUCGUUAAUUUUUAAACAAACCAAUAUUGGCUACUGUCUAAAUUAAUUGGAUACAUUUUAUUACCAACACAAUUUCAUUUCCAUUUUAUUACACUGUGUAUCAACCAUCAGCAUUUAAAUGAAAGUCGACAUUAACAUAUGGUUGAUCACUGGUUAGUGCACAAUUAAUUGUUAAUUGUGCACAGUUAAUACAUCCAGUUAACUGUUUGUGUGACAAAGCAUCUGAUAAGUUACAUGACGAUGAUAACGAUCAACUUAAUAAUAAUCACUAGGCAUUAUUACUGGAGACACAAUUGGAAAGGUUGCCAAUUAAUUUCAUGGUGUGAAUGAUUCUUUGAUCAACUCCAAUGUUGAGCUGAUUAACUCUUUAUUUUAAUUCAUUUUUUAUUUCAAUCUAACACCAAAUUGAUUAUUAUGUUGUACAGACGUUGCCAUAUAUAAAAAUAUUACAAGACUGGUGCAAGAAUCAAGACAAUAAGUGAUUAAAUAAAUGUUAAAGAUUGUAAUUGUUUGAUUGUAA